rnacentral:rRNA from 1 species
GUGCCAGCAGCCGCGGUAAUACGAAGGGGGCUAGCGUUGUUCGGAUUUACUGGGCGUAAAGCGCGCGUAGGCGGACGUUUAAGUCAGGGGUGAAAUCCCAGGGCUCAACCCUGGAACGGCCUUUGAUACUGGACGUCUGGAGAUCGGGAGAGGUUGGUGGAAUUCCGAGUGUAGAGGUGAAAUUCGUAGAUAUUCGGAGGAACACCAGAAGCGAAGGCGGCCAACUGGCCCGAUACUGACGCUGAGGCGCGAAAGCGUGGGGAGCAAACAGGAUUAGAUACCCCCGUAGUCC